rnacentral:pre_miRNA from 1 species
CACGUACUCACUCCAUCCGAAAAUACUUGUCAUCAAAAUGGACAAAAAGGGAUGUAUCUAGAACUAAAAUACAUCUAGAUACAUCCCCUUUUAUUCAUUUUGAUGACAAGUAUUUCCGGACGGAGGGAGUAGAAA